GUCCACGCCGUAAACGAUGAGUGCUAGGUGUCGGGUGUCAAAGCUCGGUGCCGCAGCUAACGCAUUAAGCACUCCGCCUGGGGAGUACGUACGCAAGUAUGAAACUCAAAGGAAUUGACGGGGACCCGCACAAGCAGCGGAGCAUGUGGUUUAAUUCGAAGCAACGCGAAGAACCUUACCAGGGCUUGACAUGCCUCUGACCGCAUUAGAGAUAGUGCUUUACCUUCGGGUACAGAGGACACAGGUGGUGCAUGGUUGUCGU
rnacentral:rRNA from 1 species